rnacentral:rRNA from 1 species
AUUGAACGCUGGCGGCAGGCCUAACACAUGCAAGUCGAACGGUAACAGGAAACAGCUUGCUGUUUCGCUGACGAGCGGCGGACGGGUGAGUAAUGUCUGGGAAACUGCCUGAUGGAGGGGGAUAACUACUGGAAACGGUAGCUAAUACCGCAUAACGUCGCAAGACCAAAGAGGGGGACCCUCGGGCCUCUUGCCAUCGGAUGUGCCCAGAUGGGAUUAGCUUGUUGGUGGGGUAACGGCUCACCAAGGCGACGAUCCCUAGCUGGUCUGAGAGGAUGACCAGCCACACUGGAACUGAGACACGGUCCAGACUCCUACGGGAGGCAGCAGUGGGGAAUAUUGCACAAUGGGCGCAAGCCUGAUGCAGCCAUGCCGCGUGUAUGAAGAAGGCCUUCGGGUUGUAAAGUACUUUCAGCGGGGAGGAAGGGAGUAAAGUUAAUACCUUUGCUCAUUGACGUUACCCGCAGAAGAAGCACCGGCUAACUCCGUG